UACGUUGGUCGAAAUGAAUACGCGUUGCCUAAGAAGACAAUAGAAUACGAGAGCAGCCAUUCUUCCCUUGUAUCCGCUUUCAAUUCAAGAAUCAUUAAUAAAAUUCGAAAAGAUUAAAUCGCAGGAUCUGAGAGAAGGUGGUCGAGUAACUCCGCUCGUUGUGCAUCGGGCCUCUCCCCUCCGGUAUCGCUAUCCCGCGGACAUGGCGAGCCUUCCAUUAACGCACCGAUCAAAGGACCAAACUCCUGAUCCUUCGGCGAAGUCGUACGUUCGUGUACAACCUCUCCAGAAUAAUCGACCCGGGAUACUCUUUCGCGCGGAAAAAGGAACAAGAAAGAUUUUAGCCGUUAAAAAAAGGAACAGGACGCAGACAUGGGGAAAUAAAAUGCUCGAUAACAAAGGACGACAUCUCCCGCACGGGCGGGAGCAGGCACGAGAAAACUUCCGUCGGCGUAUUUCACGACAUUACCUGAUACCCGAUCUUGCGGUUCCUUUGCCUUAGCGUCCUUCGUAUUCUGCGGCGUACUCGUCCUUCAGGCCAGUUUAAAUGCACAUGGCACUUUGCAACAUUGCACGUACACUGAUUGCAACAUACGUCUACGUGGUUGCAUACUCUUUAAGUAAUAAUCAUCUAACUGGUAUGUCGCGUAACACGUUAAUAAUUAAAGAUGUCCUAUAUUAGAAAAUUACAAAGAUCGAAAUAGAUUUUGACUUGUGAACGAUUAAUUUCUUAUCACUUUGAUCACUUCAAAUUAAUAUCACGAAGUAUCUGAUUCCGAUAAAUAAUCCAUGCUUCGAUGGAUUUACGAAUAUUUAAUCGUUAGAAGUUAAUCAAUCGAUUAUCAAUAAUUGUUAACUGUUCAUAGACGGUGAUCACGUAUCGCGAAUAAUAACGCGACGAUAGACAAAGCAACUCGCGCUGCCUCGGUUCGAGUUUUGCCACGUGAAUGACACCGAGUUGACUUUGUGUAUGCAACACAAAGUUGCAUAACAAAAAAAGAACGAACACUGAAUGCUGUAUACCAAUCGAAUCACCGCCGUGAAACAUUUGACACGUUAUAAAAAAAAAAUACAAUGAAAAUUUCUUGUAUUUUAAAUUAAUUUUCGAUGAACAGAUUAUUGUCGCCUAUUAAAUUUAACAUUUAUCAAUAAGACAGCAUUUGCUUUCGUUCUGAUCAAA
rnacentral:lncRNA from 13 species